rnacentral:rRNA from 1 species
CCUACGGGAGGCAGCAGUGGGGAAUAUUGGGCAAUGGAGGAAACUCUGACCGAGCAACGCCGCGUGAGGGAUGAAGGUUUUCGGAUUGUAAACUUCUGUCGCGAGGGACGAAGGAUGACGGUACCACGUAAGAAAGACCCGGCUAACUACGUGCCAGCAGCCGCGGUAAUACGUAGGGGGCGAGCGUUGUCCGGAAUGACUGGGCGUAAAGGGAGUGGAGGCGGCAAUAGAAGUCAGAUGUGAAAUCCCGCGGCUCAACCGCGGAACUGCAUCCAAAACUAUAGAGCUGGAGUGCAGGAGAGGUGAGUGGAACUCCUAGUGUAGCGGUGGAAUGCGUAGAUAUUAGGAGGAACACCAGAGGCGAAGGCGACUCACUGGACUGUAACUGACGCUGAGGCUCGAAAGCGUGGGUAGCAAACAGGAUUAGAUACCCUUGUAGUC